CAAUAGUCCUAACAGCAAAAAACAAACCAUUUUACCACCCUAGUACGGGAGACGGAACGGGAACUCUGGAGCGAUAGAGAAAGUACCGCAAGGGAACGCUGAAAGAGAAGUGAAACAAACCAGUAAAGUACAGAGAAGCAGAGCUAUACCCUCGUACCUUUUGCAUCAUGAUUUAGCAAGAUGCCCUCAAGCAAAGAGAACUUUAGUUUGUUUACCCGAAACUAGGUGAGCUACUCCAAGACAGCCUAACAGCAGGGCCAACCCGUCUCUGUGGCAAAAGAGUGGGAAGAGCUUCGAGUAGAGGUGACAGACCUACCGAACCUAGUUAUAGCUGGUUGCCCGGGAAAUGAAUAGAAGUUCAGCCCUUAGGCUCCUACAACUUCAACUGGCUAGACCUUAGCACAAGCAAAUAGGAACUUAAGGAGUUAGUCAAAGGGGGUACAGCCCAUUUGACCAAGGACACAACCUCAUCAGGAGGGUAAGGAUCAAACUUUGACAAGGCUCCGUGUCCUGGUGGGCCUAAAAGCAGCCAUCCCCAAAGAAAGCGUUAAAGCUCAAGCACACAUUUGCCUAUGAUCCCGAUAUAUACAUGUCCCACCCCCCUACCCCUUACCGGGCCACCCCAUACUUUUAUAGGGGAGACCAUGCUAGUAUGAGUAAUAAGAGGGCCACGCCCCUCUCCUAGCACAAGUGUACCUCGAAACGGACCCCCCGUCGAAAAUUAACGGCCCCAAAACAAGAGUGAAGUGGAGCAAAAAUAGACAACAGGAAAAACCUCCAAGUAAAACCCGUUAACCCCACACUGGUGUGCUUUUGGAAAGACUAGAAGGGAGAGAAGGAACUCGGCAAACCUUAUUUUAAGCCUCGCCUGUUUACCAAAAACAUCGCCUCCUGUUUACCAAUUAUAGGAGGUCCCGCCUGCCCUGUGACUUAAGGUUUAACGGCCGCGGUAUUUUGACCGUGCGAAGGUAGC
rnacentral:rRNA from 1 species